rnacentral:lncRNA from 1 species
CAAGCCAAGAACACUUCCUUUUUAACAAAAUUUGGGGCAAUGGGCAUGAACCCAACUUUCAGAGGCUGCAGAUGCUAUGUCAGAGUGGCCAUCUGGAGGGAAAGUUCUCCAUUUCAAGCUCUGCUGUCAGUCAGAAGAGGCCAAAGAGCUCAAUCAGAAGCUGGGAGAUAAUUAUUAUUGAGCCUUUUGGAGAAAUUCAAUCUUAAUAUAAUUAUACUAAAGAAAUUAAGAUCUUCUCAAGAGAUUAAACACCUGCCCAUGCUCAGAGUUAAGAAAAGAUGGAGUGGGGAAUGAAACCCAAAUGUUCUGAGUGCAGAGCCCUGCCUUUGACACACACAGCUUCUGCAGCUCUGCCAUAUGCAUUGCUUCACUUCAGUGUUGCCACCAACCCGUGGGGGCCAGAGAGCUGCUAUUCCCCAUAUGACAGACGGAAACUACAGCUCAGAUCUCACAGCUCUAGUGGGCACCAUGUUACAAGAGAACAGAGCACAGACACACAAUCUCUGGUGGGCAGAGACACAAAGAAUCUGAAAGGACUGCAGCAUCUACCCUGGAGUGUUGCAAGAUACUGCACCACUCAGAUACUGACACACUUAGAGAGUGUGGAAACUCUCUGAGCUCUGUUGAGUACUUCCACUGGUAGUAGGAGCCUCUACAAGAACGAAAUACCAAGUGCUGAGCCUUGGACCCUCCCAGAAACUAGAUUCAAAAGGGAGAAGCAAAUGUUCAUGAAAAUUGUAAAUGCAUUUGUCCUUUGACCCAAUAAUCCCACUUCUAGAAUUGUGUCCUAUUGAUAUUUCUACACUCACGAAAAGAUUAUUCUUUACUACACUGUCUGUGACAACAAAAGAGUAGAGUCAAUUCAAAUAUUCAUCAAGGAGGGACUGCUUAAAUUAAUUAUGGUAGCUAUUUAAUGAAACACUACAUAGCUGUGAAAAAGAAGAAGCUCUCUACGUACUGAUAUGGACUGGUGUUGAUAUGGUUUGACUGCAUCCCCACCCAAAUCUCAUCUUGAAUUGUAGCAUUCAUAAUUCCCAUGUGUCAUGGAGGGACCCUAUGGAAGGCAAUUGAAUCGUGGGGGCAGGUAUUUCCCAUGCUGUUCUUGUGAUAAUGAAGAAGUCUUAUGAGAUCUGAUGGUUUUAUAAAGGGCAGUUCCCCUGCGCAUGCUCUCUUUGCCUGCCACCACGUAAGACAUGCCUUUGCUUCUCCUUUGCCUUAGCUUUUCAUUUGCCUUCCACCAUGAUUGUGAGGCCUCCUCAGCCAUGUAGAACUGUCAGUUCAUUAAACCUCUUUCCUUUAUAAAUUACCUGGUCUCAGGUAUGUCUUUAUUAGCAGAGUGAGAACGAACUAAUACAGGUGUCCAAGAUUUAUUGUUAAAGAAUCUAAAAUGCAGAAUAUUUUAGUAUGCUCUCUCUCUCUUUCUCUCUCCCUCUCUCCUCACACACACACAUACAGAGAUCAUGUGAGCAUACAGCAAAAUAGUAUCCACCUGCAAGCCAAAAGAAGAGGCUUCAAAAUGAAAUCUUCCUUACCCAUACCUUGAUCUUGAACUUCCCGCCUCCAGAACUAUGAGAAAUAAAUUUGUUAUUUAAGCC